UACGUAGGGGGCAAGCGUUGUCCGGAUUUAUUGGGCGUAAAGCGCUCGCAGGUGGUUCGUCGCGUCGUGCGUGAAAGACCCCGGCUCAACUGGGGGGUGUCGUGCGAUACGGGCGGACUGGAGGCCAGUAGGGGGAUGCGGAAUUCCGGGUGUAGUGGUGGAAUGCGUAGAGAUCCGGAGGAACACCAGCGGCGAAGGCGGCAUCCUGGACUGGUCCUGACACUCAUGAGCGAAAGCGUGGGGAGCGAGUCCGG
rnacentral:rRNA from 1 species